UACGUAGGGGGCAAGCGUUAUCCGGAUUUACUGGGUGUAAAGGGAGCGUAGACGGUGAGACAAGUCUGAAGUGAAAGCCCGGGGCUCAACCCCGGGACUGCUUUGGAAACUGCCUGACUGGAGUGCUGGAGAGGCAAGCGGAAUUCCUAGUGUAGCGGUGGAAUGCGUAGAUAUUAGGAGGAACACCAGAGGCGAAGGCGGCUAACUGGACUGCAACUGACGCUGAGGCACGAAAGUGUGGGGAGCAAACAGG
rnacentral:rRNA from 1 species